AUUUAACGCUGGCGGCAGGCCUAACACAUGCAAGUCGAGCGGAUGAAGGGAGCUUGCUCCUGGAUUCAGCGGCGGACGGGUGAGUAAUGCCUAGGAAUCUGCCUGGUAGUGGGGGAUAACGUCCGGAAACGGGCGCUAAUACCGCAUACGUCCUGAGGGAGAAAGUGGGGGAUCUUCGGACCUCACGCUAUCAGAUGAGCCUAGGUCGGAUUAGCUAGUUGGUGGGGUAAAGGCCUACCAAGGCAACGAUCCGUAACUGGUCUGAGAGGAUGAUCAGUCACACUGGAACUGAGACACGGUCCAGACUCCUACGGGAGGCAGCAGUGGGGAAUAUUGGACAAUGGGCGAAAGCCUGAUCCAGCCAUGCCGCGUGUGUGAAGAAGGUCUUCGGAUUGUAAAGCACUUUAAGUUGGGAGGAAGGGCAGUAAGUUAAUACCUUGCUGUUUUGACGUUACCAACAGAAUAAGCACCGGCUAACUUCGUG
rnacentral:rRNA from 1 species